UACGAAGGUGGCAAGCGUUGUUCGGAUUUACUGGGCGUACAGGGAGCGUAGGCGGUUUGGUAAGCCCUCCGUGAAAUCUUCGGGCUCAACCCGGAAAGUUCAGAGGGGACUGCCAGGCUAGAGGACGGGAGAGGAGCGCGGAAUUCCCGGUGUAGCGGUGUAAUGCGUAGAGAUCGGGAGGAAGGCCGGUGGCGAAGGCGGCGCUCUGGAACGUUUCUGACGCUGAGGCUCGAAAGCGUGGGGAGCAAACAGG
rnacentral:rRNA from 1 species